rnacentral:rRNA from 1 species
UACUAAGUUUCAACAACGGAUCUCUUGGCUCUCGCAUCGAUGAAGAACGCAGCGAAAUGCGAUAAGUAAUGUGAAUUGCAGAAUUCAGUGAAUCAUCGAAUCUUUGAACGCACCUUGCGCUCCUUGGUAUUCCUUGGAGCAUGCCUGUUUGAGUA